rnacentral:rRNA from 1 species
AGAGUUUGAUCCUGGCUCAGAUUGAACGCUAGCGGCAUGCUUAACACAUGCAAGUCGAACGAGAGUAGGGGGGCAACUCCUUACUCUAGUGGCGGACGGGUGAGUAAUACGUAAGAAUCUGCCUUAAAGUGGGGGAUAACUCGGGGAAACUCGAGCUAAUACCGCAUGUGCUCUACGGAGCAAAGCUGGGGACCUUCGGG